rnacentral:piRNA from 1 species
UAACAGCUGGAUUCAUUCCGAACUGAAGC